UAGUGGAACUAGGAUUUGAACUCAAACACGUAGCUGAACUUGUCAGCCUGGCUCCAGAGCCUGGGCUUUUAACAAAAAUACUAUACUGCCACUCAUUUUUAGGUAACCCAUCACCAACAAGGAGACAAAGUUCCACUAUGGUCACUUGUCCCUGACAGCCUGGGGGUUUGCUAUGCUGCUACAUAGAGUCCCACAGUGGGAGUCGAGACUGCACACUAUCAGCGUGCAGACCGCUGCCCUACUUUCAGAGCUAGCUUACAGAUUGGGGUGGGAAAGAAAGAAGGACAUUCAACCAAGACCCACUCUGGGUGCCCCCCGGUCCCCACCCCUUUAUCUAAUUUGGUUAAGUUUUGUAGUUUCAUUGACCAAAAGAAUGGACAAUAAUCCCACAUGAGAGAUGACCAAGAGACAGAAGCUCCUGAAGUGCUUCCUGGUAUUCAGCCACACAGAGUCAGUUAACAUUUCUCUUGCAGGUGUUUUGCUGAGCCAGGAUCCUGUGCUGGGCCAUCUCUGGCUUUCUGUUGGGAAUCGCUAUUCCAGUUAUAUCAUCAUAUUGUCAGAAGGAACUUUUACUUUAUAUUUAUUUGGAUUUUUUUUUUCUGAUCUUCUAGGGCUACCAUUUGAUCUCAAUGGCUAACCUGGUCAAAAGGAGACGGGUCUACCAGAAGUCAUUAUUUAAACGGUCAUGAGGGCCAGGACCUUAGAAUGUUGUGACUCUCCCACUUAUGUGCUGUUACUGAAUAUUACUUUAGUUCUCGCUCUUUUUAAAAAAACUCUAUACGUUAAAGAUAUUACUCCACCCUCUUGAGCCUUACAUUGUUGCUGUUGAGACAUCAAUAUUCAGUAUAAAUGCCUUUGAGGCAAAGGAGCAGUGGGCAACUCAACAAUUUGGCAGAAGUGGGGCAAAUCUGGUCCCUAUAGAGCCCUCAGGGUAAGUGCCACUGAUGACACUGAAGUUUUGGAUUUUAUUGAGUCAAGCACGUGAUGUCCAGGAGUGUGUCUAUUGCUGUGUGACAAACCACUUCAAAACCUGGUGGCUCAAAACAACAACAGUCCUUUAUUUUGCCCAUUAAUCUGCAAUUUGGGUGGGGCUAAGAAGGGAAGCACGUCUCUACUCAACAUUUCAUUGGCUGGUAAGACUGGCCUGGGGACCAGAGGAGCCACUCUCAAGAUAUGUCAUUCGUAUGACUGG